rnacentral:tRNA from 1 species
ACCGCGGCUAUAGCUCAGUGGGUAAAGUGCCAGGUGAGAAACUUCGAGAGCUAUUAUCUGCGCGGGUUCGAAUCCCGCCUGUGGCA